rnacentral:rRNA from 1 species
UACGGUAGGGGCAAGCGUUGUCCGGAUUUAUUGGGCGUAAAGAGCGUGUAGGCGGCCAGACAGGUCUGAUUGUGAAACUGGAAGGCUCGAACCUCCAGACGUCGAUGGAACGUCUGGCUGAGAGUCGGAAGAGGAGAGUGGAAUUCCUGGUGUAGCGGUAGAAAUGCGCAGAUAUCAGGAGGAACGAGCCAAUUGCGAAGGCAAUCUCCUGGCCUGCACUGACGCUCAUGACACGAAAGGCGUGGGGAGCAAACAGG